UACGUAGGGUGCAAGCGUUAAUCGGACUUACUGGGCGUAAAGCGUGCGCAGGCGGUUCUAUAAGACAGCUGUGAAAUCCCCGGGCUCAACCUGGGAACUGCAUUUGUGACUGUAGAGCUGGAGUACGGUAGAGGGGGAUGGAAUUCCGCGUGUAGCAGUGAAAUGCGUAGAUAUGCGGAGGAACACCGAUGGCGAAGGCAAUCCCCUGGACCUGUACUGACGCUCAUGCACGAAAGCGUGGGGAGCAAACAGG
rnacentral:rRNA from 1 species